UACGUAGGGUGCAAGCGUUAAUCGGAAUUACUGGGCGUAAAGGGUGCGCAGGCGGCGGUGCGCGUGGCGAGAUGAAAUCUCCUGGCUUACCUGGGAGGAUGGUCGCCAGACGGCAUCGCUUGAGGGUCGGAGAGGGGCGUGGAAUUCCGGGUGGAGCGGUGAAAUGCGUAGAGAUCCGGAGGAACACCGACGGCGUAGGCAGCGCCCUGGACGACACCUGACGCUGAGACGCGAAAGCGUGGGGAGCAAACAGG
rnacentral:rRNA from 1 species